rnacentral:rRNA from 1 species
GCUUGACACUGAACAUUGAGCCUUGAUGUGUAGGAUAGGUGGGAGGCUUUGAAGUGUGGACGCCAGUCUGCAUGGAGCCAACCUUGAAAUACCACCCUUUAAUGUUUGAUGUUCUAACUCGGCCCCAUAAUCUGGGGUGAGGACAGUGUCUGGUGGGUAGUUUGACUGGGGCGGUCUCCUCCCAAAGAGUAACGGAGGAGCACGAAGGUUAGCUAAUCACGGUCGGACAUCGUGAGGUUAGUGCAAAGGCAUAAGCUAGCUUGACUGCGAGAGUGACGGCUCGAGCAGGUACGAAAGUAGGUCUUAGUGAUCCGGUGGUUCUGAAUGGAAGGGCCAUCGCUCAACGGAUAAAAGGUACUCCGGGGAUAACAGGCUGAUACCGCCCAAGAGUUCAUAUCGACGGCGGUGUUUGGCACCUCGAUGUCGGCUCAUCACAUCCUGGGGCUGAAGUAGGUCCCAAGGGUAUGGC